rnacentral:lncRNA from 1 species
AUGCAAGCAAACAACAUCAAAAAGAGUGAGAAUGUUGUGAUCCACAUUCCGUUCCCACAGUCUGGGUAUAGAUGGCUCUCUUCAUCACAAGAUCAUUGGAACACUCAAUUUGUUUUGAAGAAAGAGGGAAAGAGAAAAUAAAACUUAAGCCAAACCUCCAAACAUUUUUGGCUUUUACUUCCUUUUGAGCACCAGAAGAAAUCAAAAAGAAGAGCUGAAUUUCCAAAAUGAAGAGAGAAAAAGUUAUUUAAAUUAAGUAGCAACUUAAAAUGUGGAAUCCUCUCAAGACCUUGGGCAGAUUCAGUGAAG